rnacentral:lncRNA from 1 species
AUGAGACACUUUGGUUUGGCCUUGCAUCAGCUACGCUGCUGUUGGAGAUACAUACAGGAAUACUCCAAUAUCUUCCUCUGUUUCAUUUCCAGAGUUUUCGAAUUAGAAGAUAAUUUGUUCUCCUCUUGUGUUUCAAGAGUACAUCAUAGGCUCUGGAGCAUCGCUGUGUCUCAAUCUCUGUACUCCAGCACCUGCUGCACACCUGGCUGCCUUUAUUCAUUCAACCUGCUAUACACUUGACCUGAUUCAAAGAUGGCAUCCCACACCUUUCCAAAGGCUUACCUGUGGCUGUGCAUCAUCUCUCAAUCGGCUCCAGUGAGAAGACAACGUCAAGUGGAGGACAUGGGAAAAAACUCCAGAAGUAAAACGUUCACUCCGUGAGUUUGCCUGACAUCAAAUGAGGGGUAUAUACCUUCCUCAGCUCCCUGUGUGGCAUCAUCAAUAAAUGAAUAAAGUCUUGUCCA